rnacentral:lncRNA from 1 species
AUAUUUUAGUCUUUCUUUUAAUUUUCAAACAAAUCCUCACACAAAAAUGCAAACACGAAAAAAUUUCUCCUUUUUAUUUCACUGAAAGUUUUUGAAUGAAAGUUUUUAACGAUCUAAGUUGAUUUUUUCGUUAUGUAUAAUUAAUUUCAUUAUUUUUUCUCAAUUAAACUUUACAUUGGCUAGUUCAUUUUUUAAAAAGUAUAUACAAUAUUUGAUUAAUAUAAAAAUAUUUG